AUUGAACGCUGGCGGCGUGCCUAAACACAUGCAAGUCGAGCGGCAGCGCGGGAGCAAUCCUGGCGGCGAGCGGCGAACGGGUGAGUAAUGCUUCGGAAUCUGCCCAUGUAGUGGGGAAUAACCAGCCGAAAGGUUGGCUAAUACCGCAUACGACCUACGGGUGAAAGCAGGGGAUCGUAAGACCUUGCGCUAUUGGAUGAGCCGAAGUCGGAUUANCUUGUUGGGAGGUAACGGCUCACCAAGGCGACAAUCCGUAGCUGGUCUGAGAGGACGACCAGCCACACUGGGAC
rnacentral:rRNA from 1 species